rnacentral:lncRNA from 1 species
GGGUGGUGGCUUGGGUCAUUACUAUAACAACGGUUGGCUUUGGUGACGUGGUCCCAACAUCUGUUGCUGGAAAGAUUAUAUGCUCCGCCUGCGCUUUAUGUGGUAUUUUAACUCUUGCAUUGCUAACUUCCAUAUUUGUUGAAACUUUCAUGGCCUUAUAUGGUGUAGCACAGAUUGACAUGGUACCAAAAGAAGAUCGUAUCAGAAGGUGGGAUCAUUAUUCUAAGAAAAAUAGAGGAAAUGGACGUCCAGAUUUCAUAGACAUAAGGAAAACAAAAAUUUAAACUAUGGUAAGUUUUAUCGAAAGACACAGUUGCAAACAAGUAUCUAAAACAUGUGAAGAUGAAUUCAAAUCAGCA